ACAACAACAUUGGGACCGUCGGUCUACCGAGCAAUAUCACCCGCUCGGUGGAAGAUCUUCCUUUCGUCGUAUAUC
rnacentral:pre_miRNA from 1 species